CAGUCGGUUCUUCACGUAGAUGGUGGUU
rnacentral:sRNA from 1 species